UACGAAGGGGGCUAGCGUUGCUCGGAAUUACUGGGCGUAAAGGGCGCGUAGGCGGCACUGUUAGUCAGGCGUGAAAGUCCUGGGCUCAACCUGGGAACUGCGCUUGAUACGGCAGAGCUAGAGGAUGGAAGAGGCUCGCGGAAUUCCCAGUGUAGAGGUGAAAUUCGUAGAUAUUGGGAAGAACACCGAUGGCGAAGGCAGCCCCCUGGGUCAAAACUGACGCUCAUGCACGAAAGCGUGGGGAGCAAACAGG
rnacentral:rRNA from 1 species